GACGAACGCUGGCGGCGUGCUUAACACAUGCAAGUCGAGCGGUAAGGCCCUUUCGGGGGUACACGAGCGGCGAACGGGUGAGUAACACGUGGGUGACCUGCCCUCAGCUCUGGGAUAAGCCUGGGAAACUGGGUCUAAUACUGGAUAUGACUCCACGGUGCAUGUCGUGGGGUGGAAAGCCUUGUGCGGCUGAGGAUGGGCCCGCGGCCUAUCAGCUUGUUGGUGGGGUGANGGCCUACCAAGGCGACGACGGGUAGCCGGCCUGAGAGGGCGACCGGCCACACUGGGACUGAGACACGGCCCAGACUCCUACGGGAGACAGCAGUGGGGAAUCUUGCGCAAUGGGCGAAAGCCUGACGCAGCGACGCCGCGUGAGGGAUGACGGCCUCGG
rnacentral:rRNA from 1 species